rnacentral:lncRNA from 1 species
CAGGGAUGGCUGAGGAGCUCGUCCUCCCUCCCCAGGCCAGCUUAUGUCAACAGUAGGGAGGGCCAGGAUGAAGCCACGUAGGUGAGGUGCCCCAGGCAUUCACAAGCAGCAGAGGAAGCUCAGGGGCACACUCUCUCAUUCUGUAGACACGGACACUGAGUCCCGGAAAGAAGCAGGACUGCUCAAAGCAAAUUCGUGAUGAGAAUGGACUGGGGCUCCCCUCCGCACCCGCCCCUCCACUCACCCCUGCGGAGGCGGCCCACGGUAUGCGAGAAGCCAUAAUACUGAUGAAGAAACUGACUUUGUCUGACUCCAAACAUUCUGCUUAUGCUCCAUGCUGACAACCACUUUACAAUGAAUGAAUCAACUGGAAAGAAAAGAUUCAUGAAGGGGUUCCCCUAAGAAGCUGGCACUCCCUGUGCCUCUGGAACACGGAGUCAUUCUGCAGAUGGGCUGGGUGAGGUCUCCAGCCCUGGAAACUGCACAUUCCUCAGCUUCCCAUUUCACCGAGGGCACUAGAGCUCACCCCACUGUUUGGUAGAUACAGGGUGAUGCUCUAAAAUGAACCCACCAUCCAAGUCUCUGCUUCCCCCUGAGCAAGAACAGGGGAGCCUGUGGCGUCCCGAUGCGCGUCGGGCACUGGCUGAGCACUUCUCACGUGCUGACCUGUCUAAUCCGCACCGCCAGCCUAGGAGCCCGUGAGAUCAUUGUCUCAUUCCACAGAUGAAGAAACUGAGGCUGAGAGAGGUGGGCUGACUUGCCUGAGAUCGCCUGGUGGAAAUGAACUCUGCUCGGGCCUCUUGGGGCCUCAGUGGCUCCAGAAAUUGCAAUGGGUAGACGACGCUGGAGCAGCAGGGGCCCCGAGCCAGUGGGGACAGUUCCGCCCUGCCAUCCUGGCCCCACUGCCCCAGCCUCACCUGAAGCACCACCUGCGGUCAGGAGUGCCGUCCGAGCUCUUGCCCACGGUGACCAUCUCCCCAGAGCGGAAGGCCUUCCUCAGGAAUACGGGGAAGGAGCGCUCAAUGUCCAGGAUGGUGGUGGCCCACUGCGGGGAGGGAGGGUCAGGAGGGACAUCGGUGAGCCUCACAGCCUGCGCCUGCCGCUCUGGUGGCAGAAAUGAGACAACGGGCCAGGGUGGGCCCAGAACUAGGCAUUUAGACUCCUACUCCCCACUAGACACAGGGUUUAUAAACUCAAAUACCCACAGGUGGCAGGCAGGAAAACAAAUGGGUGAAACAGGAUCAGGUGCAGAAAGGCUGCCGCCCAAGCCCUAUCACACUUACACAGCAGUUGCCUCUCAGUGAGGGAGGGGUAGAGACUGGGGAGAACAGGGAGCAAAUGCCCACGUGUAAGGGGGCAGCUGCCACUCACCCCACCUGAGGGCUGCCAGGCAGGAAUCCGGACCCUGCACUGCCUGGAGCUUCCAACUUUUCAAGAAAAGCCAGAAAUCUGGGUUUUCAUAGGGAAUCUCUUAAUUUUUAAAUUUUGCAGUUUUUUGUUGUUGUUGUUGUUUUUAAUAUAAUGGUCUGAUGCUGGGUGCAGUGGCUCACACCUGCAAUCUCAGCACUUUAGGAGGCCAAGGCAGGUGGAUAGCUUGAACUCAGAAGUUCAAGACCAGCCUGGGCAACAUGGUGAAACCCCAUCUUUACAAAAAAUACAAAAAUUAGCCGGGUGAGGUGGUGCACACCUUAGCCCCAGCUACUCGGGAGGCUGAGGACAGAGAAUCACUUGAGCCUGGGAGGCAGAGGUUGCAGUGAGCCAAGAUCACACCAUUGCACUCCAGCCCACAGGAUGCCCAGUUUGCAUCCUGUGAGUAAUGCCCAGUGGGGAAACUGAGGCCCAAUGAAGUAAGCAAUAUAGAUAAAGGUUAAGAGCAGGCCAGAGCUGUUUCCCUCAGACCCAGUCCUGGGAGGACAACCUUGGGCCCUUUUUUCUCACUGCACCAUUUUCCUGAAAUGCACAGUCAAGGUAAACACGGGUGCUGUAUUCCUGGGCCGUGGGGCAGCACUGUUUAUUAGGACACCAGGUUUGUAGGCUGCACCUGGCCUGGGAGGGCUGUGAUCCCAGGGCCUGUUCUUUCCAGGAUUGCAUAGAAAGCUUUUGGUAAGUAAAAACUUUCUGCAGCUCCCCGGGCCAAGGCGGCCCCUGUCCCCAUUGGUUUCUCCUCUAGGAAGCAUGCUCACAGUUGCUAGAAAAAGACCCCCAUGAGAAUGCUGACAUCCCUGUGCUGGAGUGCUAGAGCACAAAAGCUGCCCCUGGGCUCAGCGUGGGACCCCUGCUGAAACGCUGAUGCCCACGGAGCACUUUCUGAGCCGGCAGAAGUCACUCAGUCAUGCUAGGUGGAGCCGACUGUGUCCUGUGAGCUGGACCACAAGGAGAAUCUGAGCCCACUGCUGGCAGCCAGAGAAGUGGAGGGAGAAUGAGAAGACACUGCUUGCUCAGAGUGGAAGGCCGAGGAAGCCAGUCGGGUGGGUCUCCUCGGAAGGACGAGGGUGGCUGGUAGAGUGGGGCUGGGGGCCCUGGGGCCUCACCUGCAGCUUCCAGAUGUGCUUGCUCUCCUUGGAGACCUGGCCCACUGUCUCGCCCAUGAGGGCAAUGAGCAUGUUGAGGAGCAGCACAAAGGUGAGGAUGAUGUAGGUCACCAGCAGGAUGAUGAAGACCACGGGGUACUUGGUGCUGCUCAGCAUCUCCAGGUCGCCCAUGCCGAUGGUCAGCUUAAACAGGUCCAGGAGGAAGGUGCUGAAGGUCUCGCUGUCACGGCACGAGGGAGAGGUGGAGGGUGUCAUUCUCAUUUGCUGGAGGAGAAAGCUGAGGCCUAGUGAGCGGAGCACGCUGGCCCACACGCUGACCCAUGUCACCCUACACAUCAGCCAAGCCACACCAGACCCAGGUCCUCCUGAUCCCAAAACCUUUGAAGCCUUUCCAUAAACUCUUGCUGAUAAGGAAGAGGUUAUCUCUCUCUCUCUCUCUUUCUUUCUGAGAUGGGGUCUUGCUAUGUUGCCCAGGCUGGAGUGCAGUGGCUACUCACAGGCUCAAUCCCACUACUGAUAAGCGUAGGAGUUUUGACCUGCUCUGUUUCCAACCUGGGACAGUUCACCCCUCCUUACACAACCUGGUGGUUCCCUGCUACCGGGAGGGAAAAGGUUUUCAGGAUCUAGUCCAGGGAGGGUCUCAGUUUUUCCCACCAGGGGAC